AUAGGAAUCUGCCCGGUAGUGGGGGAUAACCUGGGGAAACUCAGGCUAAUACCGCAUACGUCCUACGGGAGAAAGCAGGGGACCUUCGGGCCUUGCGCUAUCGGAUGAGCCUAUGUCGGAUUAGCUGGUUGGUGAGGUAACGGCUCACCAAGGCGACGAUCCGUAGCUGGUCUGAGAGGAUGAUCAGCCACAUCGGGACUGAGACACGGCCCGAACUCCUACGGGAGGCAGCAGUGGGGAAUAUUGGACAAUGGGCGCAAGCCUGAUCCAGCCAUGCCGCGUGUGUGAAGAAGGCCCUCGGGUUGUAAAGCACUUUCAGUGGGGAAGAAAUCCUCGUGGUCAAUACCCGCGAGGGAGGACAUCACCCACAGAAGAAGCACCGGCUAACUCCGUGCCAGCAGCCGCGGUAAUACGGAGGGUGCGAGCGUUAAUCGGAAUUACUGGGCGUAAAGCGCGCGUAGGCGGCGUGAUAAGCCGGUUGUGAAAGCCCCGGGCUCAACCUGGGAACGGCAUCCGGAACUGUCAGGCUAGAGUGCAGGAGAGGAAGGUAGAAUUCCCGGUGUAGCGGUGAAAUGCGUAGAGAUCGGGAGGAAUACCAGUGGCGAAGGCGGCCUUCUGGACUGACACUGACGCUGAGGUGCGAAAGCGUGGGUAGCAAACAGGAUUAGAUACCCUGGUAGUCCACGCCGUAAACGAUGUCGACUAGCCGUUGGGGUCCUUGAGACCUUUGUGGCGCAGUUAACGCGANANGUCGACCGCCUGGGGAGUACGGCCGCAAGGUUAAAACUCAAAUGAAUUGACGGGGGCCGCACAAGCGGUGGAGCAUGUGGUUNAAUUCGAUGCAACGCGAAGAACCUUACCUACCCUUGACAUCCUCGGA
rnacentral:rRNA from 1 species